rnacentral:rRNA from 1 species
AUAUUGGACAAUGGGGGCAACACUGAUCCAGCCAAGCCGCGUGUGUGAAGAAGGUCUUCGGAUUGUAAAGCACUCUAAGUUGGGAGGAAGGGAUUUAGGUUUAUAUCAUGAAGUUUUCACAUUACCAAACGUAUCAGCACCGGCUAACUCUGUGCCAGCAGCCGCGGUAAUACAGAGGGUGCAAGCGUUAAUCGGAAUUACAGGGCAUAAAGCGCGCGUAGGUGGUUCAGUAAGAUGGGUGUGAAGUCCCCGGGCUUAACCUGGGAACUGCUUUCAUAACUGCUGAGCUAGAGUACGGUAGAGGGUAGUGGAAUUUCCUGUGUAGCGGUGAAAUGCGUAGAUAUAGGAAGGAACACCAGUGGCGAAGGCGACUACCUGGACUGAUACUGACACUGAGGUGCGAAAGCGUGGGGAGCAAAC